CUCCCCGGCAGGGAAUCGAACCCCGGUCGCCCGCGUAACAGGCGGGAAUGCUAACCACUAUAUUACCGUCUGGUA
rnacentral:tRNA from 1 species